GACGAACGCUGGCGGUGUGCUUCACACAUGCAAGUCGAACGAGACCUUCGGGUCUAGUGGCGCACGGGUGCGUAACGCGUGGGAAUCUGCCCCUUGGUUCGGAAUAACUUCGGGAAACUGAAGCUAAUACCGGAUAAUGACGUAAGUCCAAAGAUUUAUCGCCAAGGGAUGAGCCCGCGUAGGAUUAGCUAGUUGGUGGGGUAAAGGCUCACCAAGGCGACGAUCCUUAGCUGGUCUGAGAGGAUGAUCAGCCACACUGGAACUGAGACACGGUCCAGACUCCUACGGGAGGCAGCAGUGGGGAAUUUUGGACAAUGGGGGC
rnacentral:rRNA from 1 species